rnacentral:lncRNA from 1 species
AAAUUGCUAUGGCUUCAGCAUUGAAGAUAGAAAAAUCAUGGCCUAACUUAAACAAUUUUUCUGUUUUAGUAGCAGGUAUGUAAAAGGCACAUCCAGUGCCAACUAACGUCUUAGAUGCAUCUGUAUAUAUAUUUAUAGAAUCUGGCCAAUUAUCUAAGAAUGUUCUUAAGAUGUUAGAGCUAAUAUUACUGUUUUCAUGGUAACUUGGUUUUACUAAUUUAACUGUAUGUAAAAAAGAAUGAAAAUCUUCGAGUCCAAAA